CUCUCUGGAUAGUCGGUAUGGGCUCGAUGGGCCGAAGGGCCUGCUUUCACGCUGUUCUCCAGACUCGGGAGUGUGUGAGCCCUGCAAGUGCCUCUGAGAGGGACACAGGGAGGGGGGAAUGUGGAGGAAAAGCGAGCGAUUUGAAGACAGGUGUAUGUGUGAGUGGGGGGGUGGGGGGUAGUGGUUGGGGGAAGACUCGUGGUGAGAAAUGUGGAGAGCAGCCUGGACACAAAAACAGAAGCUGUUGGAAAAACUCAGCAGGGAAAUGAGGGUUAACGUUUCGGCUCCAGUGUCCCUUCGGCUGUGUUGGUUAAAUGGUAAAUACUGGGCGGACUGAUGCAGGGAACGGCUGAUCACGGUCUUGGCGCCGUGUUGGAGAGUGAGAACAGAAAUUCUCGGUGUAGCCAGCGCCACUCUCUGUGUCCAGGCGGAGCGCUAUGUGCCGCUAGACCUUCCACAAUCCAAUGUGAUCCAUACACGGUCUCCGCCUCGCCCCCUCGUAUAAAAGCUGCUCUCCAUACUCCGUUCAGCCGCCACUCGGAACUCGGAGCUCUCUCUUCCACAUCUCAGCCACACACACACACAUACACAUACACAGAGAACAGCACGGUGUAAAGGGAGAGAGAGAGAGAAACAGCGCGGUGUAAAGGGAUUUUCUCAGGGGGUUGACUGGAGAAGACACCCCCAAAUUCACAAACAAAAAGAAGCACCUUUUCCAAGGCGAGCAAGAAAAGAAAAUGACAAAAAUCUGGAUGGUAUACUUCGGGGCUUUAGCACUGGCUGUUUUACUGCAGAUUAAGGCGGACAUUGACUCCACAACGAAGUCCACCACAGACGUCGCCGCUCUCAACAGCACCAACUCGACCUCGGGGGUAGAGUCCACCCUGGGCAACAUUUCACCCAGCCAGAGCCCGGCCAACAGCACAGGCCCGCCCGCCAAUCUGCACUGCCCCUCCAGCUUGCUGCUCCCGCUCACCAUCGGCGCCUCGAUCGCCUACCUCUGCUGCUAGGGGCCGGGCAAGCCCCAGCCUUGGGCAACAGGCAACACUCCGGUCAAACCAACCAUCCCUCACCAGCGGGGCAGGCAGCUCCGUCAGAAGAGAUUUCCUCUUUCUCGCUCUUUUUCUCUGUGUGUAUGUGUCCCUUUCGCUUUCUCAAGACCAAAACUCACUGGCGUUGUAAGUUUGAGUGUCCUAUUUAAGCCAAAAUUAUUUCUCUCUAGCUUCCUGAAACCAGCCAAUGUAUUCUAUGCGUGUUUGUGUGUGUGUGUAUGUGAUGGGCUCUAUCUCUGUCUCUUCAUGCCACGCCCGGAUUGUUACCACGCCUGAAAACCAGCAAGAGGACCUGUGUACCGGCGCCUAGCCCUCCCCUCUCCCCCUUCUUUUUUCUGUGUAAGUAAUUGGACGGGAGCAACCUGAGAUUCUUCCCCCAACCCCCACUGUCCUCCCUUCACUUCACUGUAAGUCGGCCCUCUCUCAUAACGAAGGUGAACACCGGCGGCAAAUUGACACACCGAUUCCUGGAUUCAAUGAGGGAGCCGUCUUCGUGGUGGAGGCGAAGAUUGAGUUGUCUGAAAACGCCCAUCCACACAUCACCUCCCAAUCACACAUGCAUCCCAAUUCUUUACUUGUAAGCUGCCGGAGAUAAUGACUACAGAAAAGGGUUUUAUUUUCAUCUCUUUUAGAGACAGUCGGUUUCCAAUUUGGUUAUCUGAUAAUAGAGGUUGGAUGUUUACAAAGCACGUUUUGACACCACCUGCUCACAAUUUGGCGUUUACAAUUCGGAGAACUAAAGAAUACAUUAAACUGAAAUUCGAACAGAAAUAAACGACGCUUUUUAUAUGUGAACUGCACACUCACAGGGUAAUAGUUAACAGCCAAUGCAAAGGGAAGUGUGAAUUCACCUUUUGCAGGUUACUAUCUUUUACAAGUGAGAGGUUAGUGCAGACAAUAAGUGACUGUGUUGCCCGUGACCUCCAGUUACUUGGUACCUUCCUUGUGCCCAGUCCGAGAAAAUUUCUGGUACUUUUUAAUGGAGGGCAUCAUUUCAAAUGGGAUUCACUGUUAAUUACAUUAAUCGCAUUUGGUAUAUAUAUAUUCUGAUUUAAUAUUAGACUAACGUUUCUUUGUGAUCAUGAAACCAAUUUCCAAAUGCAUUGGUUCAUUUUUUUUGUACAAGAUGUACUGUAUUACAACUUUGUAUAAUUAAUUGCUGUUGAUUAAAAUGCAAAUAUUGUUUUGGGGGAUUUAAUAUGUUCCUGCUGUAAAUAAAGUUUACCUGGCAAAUCAUUUUAAAGGACUCUAAAAAUGUAAGCCUUGCUUCAAACUGUUCUGGAAAAUAGAAAAUCUUUGAACUGUUUCAAUAAACUGAUUGAACACUA